CAACACGACUAGGCUACAAACGA
rnacentral:siRNA from 1 species